rnacentral:rRNA from 1 species
UCGCCCUUCGGGGUGCACCAGGCGCGAAAACUCUACAAUGCAGGCAACUGCGAUAGGGGAACAUCGAGUGAUCCUCAUAUUGGGGGUCUGUCCACCCGCCUAAAAAGCGGGUGUUAGCAAGGGCCGGGCAAGACCGGUGCCAGCCGCCGCGGUAAUACCGGCGGCUCGAGUGGUGGCCGAUAUUAUUGAGUCUAAAGGGUCCGUAGCCGGCUUUGCAAGUCUCUCGGGAAAUCCAGCGGCUUAACCGUUGGUCGUCCGGGGGGUACUACAUUGCUUGGGACUGGGAGAGGUAGGAGGUACUCAGGGGGUAGGAGUGAAAUCCUGUAAUCCUUUGGGGACCACCGGUGGCGAAGGCGUCCUACCAGAACAGGUCCGACGGUGAGGGACGAAAGCUAGGGGCACGAACCGGAUUAGAUACCCGGGUAGUCCUAGCCGUAAACGAUGCUCGCUAGGUGUCACAACAGUCGUGAACUGUUGUGGUGCCGUAGGGAAGCCGUGAAGCGAGCCACUUGGGAAGUACGACCGCAAGGUUGAAACUUAAAGGAAUUGGCGGGGGAGCAC